AGACUUAAUUGAAAAACUUAAUAAGACAAAUGUUUAUAUAAGUUAAUAAAGUGAAUGUAAGGAAGAGACUAAAUGGAGUGGUAGGAAUAAGCAUAGUUAGGAAAAAAAUGGAAAUGAGCAGCUAGAAUUGAGAAUUAAGAAGAGAAUAGAGAUAAGAUACAGAAGGUAAUUCAUUUGCAGAAAAGAUACUGUGAUUGAAC